GGCAGUAUGGCCUAGUGGAAAAAGUACAGGCCUGGGAGUCAGGGGACCUGGGUUCCACUCCCAGCUCUGCCA
rnacentral:tRNA from 1 species